rnacentral:misc_RNA from 1 species
CCAAACUUGGUCAUUUAGAGGAAGUAAAAGUCGUAACAAGGUCUCCGUUGGUGAACCAGCGGAGGGAUCAUUAGAGAGAGUCUGAGGAACUCCCCAAAACCCCUGUGAACAUACCGUACGUUGCCUCGGCGGGGCGGGCGCCAGCCCCGCCAAGGGGCCCCCCAAACACUCUGUUUUAUUUUUGGACGUGGGAACUCUGAUAGCUGCAAACUGAAAUCAGUUAAAAACUUUCAACAACGGAUCUCUUGGCUCUGGCAUCGAUGAAGAACGCAGC